UACGUAGGGUGCAAGCGUUAAUCGGAAUUACUGGGCGUAAAGCGUGCGCAGGCGGUUUUGUAAGUUAGAGGUGAAAGCCCGGGGCUCAACUCCGGAAUUGCCUUUAAGACUGCAUCGCUAGAAUUGUGGAGAGGUAAGUGGAAUUCCGAGUGUAGAGGUGAAAUUCGUAGAUAUUCGGAAGAACACCAGUGGCGAAGGCGACUUACUGGACACAUAUUGACGCUGAGGUGCGAAAGCGUGGGGAGCAAACAGG
rnacentral:rRNA from 1 species